UUCUGCUUUCUAACCAGAAUUCAGCAGGUAGCUGGGUUGUUAUGUGUUGUAGAUGAUAUAGCUCCACGUGCCCUUUAUCCUGUAGAAGCAAGAUAAUAAAUGAAAGUCCCUACCAGAAGAUGAAGACAUCUUGUAGUCCCCUGACUAAAGACCCAUGUGAUUUGCAAGUGUGGACCCUGGCAUAGCAAUGAACUUCUUAGGCAUAGCCAGUUCAUUGAUAAGGUUUCUAUUCAAGAUUCUGAAUCUUGAGUGGAGUGAUUUGAUUUGACUGGACUACACUCCACAAACAGCCAUGAUGCAGAACUGACUUCCCAGCGAAGCCUGACUGGGCAAGUGGUGGUGGAGAGCUGACUACGUGACAGGGCCCCACCAGAACAGCAGUGGCAGAGCUGAUGUCACAGAACUGGAUGAGGGGGACUGACUUUUCCUCAAUUCCCCUCAGUUCCAGAACUAUCUACAAUGAAUGUGAAACAAGAAAACACUGAAAAAACCUUUGCAAAAGAAGUGAACCUCCCUGAAAUAGCCCUGUAUGCUUAAAGUACUUUAAUAAGGGUAUAUUGCUAACUAUAUUUUACUAACAGAAGAAGGGUUUACAGCAAGGCUCUCGAUACAUGUGUCUAACUUAGAGCUGUUCUUGACAAAGUUUUGUUACUUAGGACUGAGUUCUGUCACACCAUAAAAUAAUGCUAUUGAAGAUCUGAAGUACCUGUGCAAUCCCGGAACUGCUUGUAAGGAGAACUUUAAGGAGCUCAGGCUUCAGAGUAGCAGCCGUGUUAGUCUAUACCCACAAAAAGAAAAGGAGUACUU